rnacentral:tRNA from 1 species
UGGCUCAGUUGGUAAAACAUGGCACUUGCAAUGCCAGGGUUGUGGGUUUGAUUCCCAC